rnacentral:lncRNA from 1 species
AGGGCUAAUUUAUUCCUUGCCACUCACUCUGAAACUAACUGCAGCUCUUUGUUAAGUGUUGCAGUCAUUUCAGUCGCUGUAGUAGCUGACGUAUAUAGUGUUGAGUCAUCCGCAUACAUAGACACACUCAAAGCAAUUGGCAUGUCGUUAGUAAAGAUUGGAAAGCGUAAGAACAUUCUAGAACACCCUCUGUGUUCUGUUAGACAGGUAACUCUUUAUCCACAUUAUAGCAGAGGGUGUAAAGCCAUAACACAUAUGUUUUUCCAGCAGUAGACUAUGAUCGAUAAUGUCAAAAGCCACACUGAAGUCUAACGAAACAGCCCCCCCCAACAAUCUUUUUAUCAUCAAUUUCUCUCAGCCAAUCAUUUGUGUAAGUGCUGUGCUUGUUGAAUGUCCUUCCCUAUAAGCGUGCUGAAAGUCUGUUGUCAAUUUCUUUACUGUAAAAUACCAUUGUAGAAGGUCAAACACAAAUUUUUUCAAAACUUUACUAAGGGUUGGUAACAGGCUGAUUGGUCGGCUAUUUCAGCCAGUAAAGGGGGCUUUACUAUUCUUGGGUAGUGGAAUUACUUUUGCCUCCCUCCAGGCCUGAGGGCACACACUUUCUAGUAGGCUUAGAUUGAAGAUAUAGCAAAUAGGAGUGUCAAUAUCGUCUGCUAUCAUCCUCAGUCAUUUUCCAUCCAAGUUGUCAGACCCCAGUGGCUUGCCAUUGUUUUUACAUUACAUUUACAUUUACGUCAUUUAGCAGACGCUCUUAUCCAGAGCAACUUACAAAUUGGUGCAUUCACCUUAUGAUAUCCAGUGGAACAACCACUUUACAAUAGUACAUCUAUAUCUUUUUAGGGGGGGGGGGGGGUUAGAAGGAUUACUGUAUCCUAUCCCAGGUAUUCCUUAAAGAGGUGGGGUUUCAGGUGUCUCCGGAAGGUGGUGAUUGACUCCGCUGUCCUGGCGUCGUGAGGGAGCUUGUUCCACCAUUGGGGUGCCAGAGCAGCGAACAGUUUUGACUGGGCUGAGCGGGAACUGUGCUUCCUCAGAGGUAGGGAGGCGAGCAGGCCAGAGGUGGAUGAAUGCAGUGCCCUUGUUUGGGUGUAGGGCCUGAUCAGAGCCUGAAGGUACGGAGGUGCCGUUCCCCUCACAGCUCUGUAGGCAAGCACCAUGGUCUUGUAGCAGAUGCGAGCUUCAACUGGAAGUCAGUGGAGUGUGCGGAGGAGCGGGGUGACGUGAGAGAACUUGGGAAGGUUGAACAUCAGACGGGCUGCGGCGUUCUGGAUGAGUUGUAGGGGUUUAAUGGCACAGGCAGGGAGCCCCGCCAACAGCGGUAGACAACAACAAUAGACAACAAUUAUUUUUUCACCUCUUCCACACUCACUUUACGGAAUUCAAAAUUACAAUUCUUGUCUUUAAUAAUUUGGUCAGAUAUACUUGGAUGUGUAGUGUCAGCGUUUGUUGCUGGCAUGUCAUGCCUAAGUUUGCUGAUCUUGCCAAUGAAAAAAAUCAUUAAAGUAGUUUACAAUAUCAGUGGGUUUUGUGAUGAAUGAGCCAUCUGAUUCAGUGAAUGAUGGAGCUGAGCUUGCAGUUUUUCCUAACAUUUCAUUGAAGGUGCUCCAAAGCUUUUUACUAUCAUUCUUUAUGUCAUUUAUCUUUGUUUCAUAGUGUAGUUUAUUUUUCUUUUUAUUCAGUUUAGUCACAUGAUUUCUCAAUUUGCAGUACAUUUCCCAAUCAGUUGGGCAGCCAGACUUAUUUGCCAUUCCUUUUACCUCAUCCCUCUCAACCAUACAAUUUUUCAAUUCCUCAUCAAUCCACUGUGAUUUAACAGUUUUGACAGUCCUUGUCUUAACUGAGUGCAUGCUUAUUAGUAACUGCAAGUGUCAAGUGCAGCGUCUGGUUGCUCCUCAUUACACACCACUGACCAGCAAAUAUUAUUUACAUCAAUAACAUAGGAUUCACUACAAAACUUAUUGUAUGACCUCUUAUACACUAUAUUAGGCCCAGACUUUGAAACUUUGGUUUUCCUAGAUAGCAGAAGUAGAUAUUCUCAUGGCUUGGGGGUAGAAGCUGUUUAGAAGGCUUUUGGACCUAGACUUGGCGCUCCGGUACCGCUUGCCGUGCGGUAGCAGAGAGAACAGUCUAUGACUAGGGUGGCUGGAGUUCUUUGAACGUUACUAAUGUUUUCUUGUGUUUUUUCUGGAAAGAUUUCUUAAUGUUAUGAGAAUAUGACUUUAAAUAGAACCAUGGACUAACCUGCAGAAAACAUUAUGCUGAAAGACUGAAAUUUCCACAGAAUAAAGUUGUUUCUUAACGUUCUCUGAAUAAUUUGAGAACAUUACUUUAAAGCUGUAAUGUGUAACUUUUUUGGGUGACCCGACCAGAUUCACAUAGAAAUAUGAGGUGUCCUGUGCUGUAGGGUCUUUCAACUUGAACCUAGUUGGUAGCCUGUCUGCAACACACGAUACCAAUCUAUACAAGCCAGGAAUGUGCCGGAAUUAGAACACACACACACAGAAUCACAGCCCAGGAAACACACACACACUUCUACGCCGGCAGACAGGCACCAACCAACAUUUCCGUUCACCUAGUAGGAGUCAAUAGUGGUACACACACUCUAAUGCCGCGUUCAAGUCCCUUCGGAAACUUGGACAUUUCCGACUUGCUUUCUCGUUGUAGAAAGAUGAUACCCUGAGUUUCCCACUUGGGAAGUAUCAGAAUGAACCAAUAGCAAGCUUUACACAAAUAACUUAUGUUAAUUUUAACUCGCAGGUCCCCGAGUUUUACCGACAUGACGUGAACGCGGCAAAACACACAUACACGCUGUCCAACACACACACACACACACACACACACACACACACACACACACACACACACACACACACACACACACACACACACACACACACACACACACACACACACACACACACACACACACACACACACACACACACACACACACACACACACACACACACACACACACACACACACACACACACACACACACACACACACACACACACACACACACACAGACACACACACACACACACACACACACACACACACACACACACACAGACGUUGUCCUAUAAUUAUUCUCCCUGUGAUGCUCUGUAAAGACGUAAACUGUGUUCGCUGGUUUGGAACUCCUCUGAUCUCUGCUAUAGUAGUACCACAGGUCAUCUCCCCUGCCCUGAGCCACACACGGCUAGCCUCAAUACCAAACAUCCUGAUCUGUGUUUCGCAACACGGACAGAAUGUAAGCUUGAGAGAUCUGGAUGGUUCGUAUGAGCCUAACACAUGGCCAUAACUACUCAGAAAUGGGUCAAAGUGGAAAGGAUUUCGCAACACGGACAGAAUGUAAGCUUGAGAGAUCUGGAUGGUUCGUAUGAGCCUAACACAUGGCCAUAACUACUCAGAAAUGGGUCAAAGUGGAAAGGAUUUCGCAACACGGACAGAAUGUAAGCUUGAGAGAUCUGGA